AGCCUUGAAUCAGUGGUGUUAUGGAUGUCAACAACCCAGUGUCCACUGGGGUGUCUCAAUGGAGCGGGAAGUUGGCGAUUACAGGGCAGUAAAUUCAGGCAUCUAUAAAAGAAUGAGACCUGAUCAGAAAUUUAAUGAACAUAUUAAGGAUGAUAAAGGUGAAGACUUUCAGAAACGUUAUAUCCUCAAGAGAGAUAACUCUAGCUUUGACAAAGAUGAUAACCAGAUGAGAAUACGUUUGAAAGAUGACAGAAGAAGCAAAUCUAUAGAAGAAAGAGAAGAAGAGUACCAGAGAGCCAGAGACCGAAUAUUUUCCCAAGAUUCCCUGUGUUCCCAAGAGAAUUACAUUAUUGACAAAAGACUCCAAGACGAGGAUGCCAGUAGUACCCAGCAGAGGCGCCAGAUAUUUAGAGUUAAUAAAGAUGCUUCAGGGAGAUCUACAAAUAGCCAUCAAAGCAGCACUGAGAAUGAGUUGAAGUACUCAGAACCACGACCCUGGAGCAGCACAGAUUCAGACAGCUCUCUUCGAAACCUGAAACCUGCUGUAACCAAAGCCAGCAGCUUCAGUGGAAUCUCAGUCCUGACAAGAGGUGAUAGUUCUGGAAGCAGCAAAAGCAUAGGCAGGCUUUC
rnacentral:sRNA from 1 species